GCUUUUAGAAUAAAACCAGUGAUUGUUUCCCAUAAAAAUUGUGUUCUGUUAUUGUGUUCCCCAAUCACUAAAUGCCACUUAAAGUUCGAGAUUAUAUAGUGUUGGCAUUUUGAGUUUGUUUUCUUAAUUGAAUGUUAAAUAAUCAGUCUCAGUACAUAAUUAGCAUGUAUUAAAGAGGCAUUAUUCAAGAUAUAAAUCUGCCCAUUGCAUCUUUCUUUAGGCCUUAGAUAAUAAAAUAUUAAUUAGGAAUUUAUUAACAUGCCAUCACAUAGCUUGGAUUUUAAAUAGAUUAAAACGGUUUGGGCAUUUAAUGAUUUAAUUUAAAAAUGGAGAAGCAAGGCUAAGCCUUGAAUAACCAGCAUGGUUGUUACGAUAAUAAACAAUCAAUGCACACAUCUUGUCAAAACUACAAAUGGUGAUAAUGUUGCUCUGGAUAAAUUAAUUUAAAUGAAAUUUUCAAUGUAUUCAUUUUCCAUUAUCUAUUUUUGAACUAUUUUAUCUAAACCUUUAAACAUGCAUUAUGCAAGAGCAAAAUCUGCUUAUUACAAGUCUUUCUUUAGGCCUGAAAUGUUAUCUAAAUUAUCAAUUAGACAUUAAUUAACUUAUCCAGACCAUAAUCAACUCUCGAUGUCAAGGCUAGCCCUCGAUGUUGGCUGGAUUAGAUUCCUAUAUGCCGCUAACGGCUAUUGAUAAUUAAAUCAAUAAAAGCGGAUAAUCGAGACUAUGCUGUUUAUAUUAAUGAUUUUAGUAAUGAUGACCGAGACUAUGCAAAAUUUUUACCCGCUUCUUUCUCGGCUCAUAGUGGAUCAAUUUGACUGAAAUUUUUUUUAGCAUAUUACCUUUACACUAUCUAGUUUUUAACUAUUAUAGCGAGAACUGCCAUCUCUUUAUCUUAUCUGCCAUAAUGUAUCUUUAAGCUGUCAGAAUUUUGAUAUUUUAACGAAAAUACAAAUGAUGCAAAUGGGCUUUCAACAUUCAUACUUUAGGAUAACUUCUUAAUUAUUUAUUUAAUCUUAUAUACUGUAUCAGACCAUUACCAGUCACUGACAGGCCAAUGAGUAAAACUAAGUUAUUGAGUUCAACUUUGUAUUCCUUGAACACAUAUUUUUAACAAAUUGAGUUUUGACCAUGAAAUGGUGACAAAAGCUUUUAAGGGUUUUUUUUGUUGGUUUUUUUUUUCUUUUAACAACUGAAUUAAGCUUUUAAAGUCUAUACCAAUAUUUAUCAAUUAAGAACUGGAUAUGGUUUUUUUACUGGCCAACCAUGUUUUCUGGUGCGUCAAAAUGACCAUACUCGACAUGGAAUUUCAAUUAUAAUAUGAAUAUCCAGAUGAAACAGGCCAACAUAUUAUAUUGAAAUAAAGGUAUUAGUAAAUAAUGUAAUGUUUCAUUUGUGUCAAGCAAACCGGUUCGACAGGUUUAAUGUCUGUAAAAUCAUGUACAUGUAGUUUGAGUCUGACAGUAAUUAUUUCCAGGCCUGAUGAUUUUAGUUGUACCUGAAAAAAUUUUAACUUUGUGCUUGACAUGGAGGGGGAGUUGGGUGGCCGUUUGGUGGUGAACGUGCGCGCGUUGGAUCAGACGGUAUGAUUUCGAUUCCCGCUUGUACGUGACAAGGAGUAGAGUAGCCUGUCCAACCUCGUGGGUUUUCACUAAGUCCUCCGGUUUUCUCCCACUGUUAAAGACCACUUCGCGUAAACAAAUUAUUGAAAUUAAAUUGAACCAUAUGUUAGUCCUGGAAUGACCUAGUUUGUGUCGAGUGGUCCUUUCUCUGUUCAUGUAUUAAAAACCUCAAUAAAAACACUGAAAAAGAACAAAUCUGGGUUGGCAUCAUGUGCCCUUUCUCUCGUUACAUGUGCAAAUUUGACUACUUUUCUUGGAAUUCCAUCUGCAAAUAAAUUUUGUAUGAGCACUGCCAGUGUGUGCAUUGAGCUCUAAUGUUAGUCUCAAAAUGAACUACAGUACUUGUAUUUUGUCGACAUUUAACACCUUGUCUCUCUUGGGACGCUAUACCGAACUGUGCAAUGCAAAGAUUUUGAGGUAAGUCGAUCUCUUAUAUACAGAUAUGAAAUUAUGGUCAUAAAGAUUAAAAAAAAGCAGAAUUUAAUAGGUGAGAAAAUAGUUCACUUAUUGUCUUAUAGCACAGGGCCUACGGAGGAUGUCUGGUACAGUUUCUUGAUAAUUCUUUACAGGACAUACAUAUAAUUAUACAAAAUGGAUUACAUAGCACUAGUCUAUUAUCUGAUGAAAGCAACCAUGCACUAAUUUGGCGAUGUAUAGGCAUGUUCUAUCUACAAAAAUACAGCAAACACUGCUUAUUUGUAUUUCUUCGAGAAACAUCAAAAGAGGUUUAGAGAUUUGUUUUUGACUGGAUGAUAAUUCACAAAGAAUUAAGGUGAAAUAUAACAUAGCUGGGAUAACUGUAAAAAGAUCUAUACAUGUAAUUUACUCACGCGAAACAAAAUAACAUUUUAUAAUCUUCAGAUUUAAGUUGCUUAAAUAUUCAAACUUGGCAUAUUGUAUAAUAAAUUUAUAUGUAUUUAUGAUAUAAUAAUAUUUAUAAAAGAAACACCACCAUUUAUACUGACUAAAUAUAAUUAGAAAAUGAAAAGACCAUUUUCCAUAUCACCAGAAUUAUAGUGACUGCCAGGGCGACCUUCGGUUGCACGGAUUUUCGUACUAUAGUUCAACCUGUGGUCGUGACUAGCCAUACCAUACAAAGAGCAUAGUCGCAACGAUAGUCUACAUCCGAAGGUCGCCCACG